GACGAACGCUGGCGGCGUGCUUAACACAUGCAAGUCGAACGGAAAGGCCCUGCUUUUGUGGGGUGCUCGAGUGGCGAACGGGUGAGUAACACGUGAGUAACCUGCCCUUGACUUUGGGAUAACUUCAGGAAACUGGGGCUAAUACCGGAUAGGAGCUCCUGCUGCAUGGUGGGGGUUGGAAAGUUUCGGCGGUUGGGGAUGGAUUCGCGGCUUAUCAGCUUGUUGGUGGGGUAGUGGCUUACCAAGGCUUUGACGGGUAGCCGGCCUGAGAGGGUGACCGGCCACAAUGGGACUGAGAUACGGCCCAGACUCCUACGGGAGGCAGCAGUGGGGAAUAUGGCACAAUGGGCGGAAGCCUGAUGCAGCAACGCCGCGUGCGGGAUGACGGCCUUCGGGUUGUAAACCGCUUUCGCAUGUGACGAAGCGUGAGUGACGGUAAUGGGUAAAGAAGCACCGGCUAACUACGUG
rnacentral:rRNA from 1 species